rnacentral:rRNA from 1 species
GUGCGAAGGGGGUACCUCGAGUGCCAUCCGAUGAAGGUGGCUUUUCCUUGGUCUAAAAAGCCUUGGGAAUAAGAGGGGGGCAAGACUGGUGUCAGCCGCCGCGGUAACACCAGCCCCUCGAGUGGUGGGGAUGAUUAUUGGGCCUAAAGCGUCCGUAGCCGGCCGRGCAAGUUUCCCGUUAAAUCCAACGUCUUAAGCGUUGGUCCGCGGGAAAUACUGUUAGGCUAGAGAGUGGGAGAGGUCAGCGGUAUUCUGGGGGUACCGGCGAAAUCCUUUGAUCCCCGGAGGACCACCAGUGGCGAAGGCUGCUGACUAKAACGCGUCUGACGGUCAGGGAAUAAAGCUGGCGUAKCGAACCGGAUUAGAUACCCGGGUAGUCCCAGCCGUAAACGAUGCAUGCUARGUGUUGGGUUGCCUCGAGCCACCCCAGUGCCGCAUGGAAGCCGUUAAGCUCUGCCGCCCKGG